rnacentral:rRNA from 1 species
ACAAACGACUCUCGGCAACGGAUAUCUCGGCUCACGCAUCGAUGAAGAACGUAGCAAAAUGCGAUACUUGGUGUGAAUUGCAGAAUCCCGUGAACCAUCGAGUUUUUGAACGCAAGUUGCGCCCGAAGCCACUCGGCCGAGGGCACGUCUGCCUGG